UCCCUCUUAGCUCAGUGGUAGAGCGCGUCACUUGUACCUGACCUUUCGGUCACAAACUCAAAUGACGAGGUCAGUCGUUCAAUCCGGCUAGCGGGAA